AGACAGGGUCUCAGUUUGUUGCCCAGGCUGGUCUGGAACUCCUGGCUUCAAGCAAUCCUUCUGCCUUCAAGCAAUCCUUCUGCCUUGGCCUCCCAAAAUGCUGGAAUUACAAGUGUGAGCCACUGUGCCCAGGCUUUUAUUAUUUUCGAGAGAAAGAGGAUUUUGUCUGUUUUCAUCCCAGCCAUAUCUCCAGUCCUUAGAACACAGCCUGCCAUAACGUGACCUCUCCACAAGAAACAAGAGACUGCUUCCAGUGCUCUGGAGUAUGAAUGAGAAGUCAUGAAGUCAACCUAGAGAGUGGAGACAGCCUUUCUCCAUUGUGGAAUUUUAAUGCUGAAAGAGGUUGGUGACACCUUCAGGUGAAGGCUUUCAACAUUCACUGUAUUCAUAAGGGCUUUUUCCAGUGUGGCAGAUCUGCUUUUGAGAUUCAGCUCUAUCAUCACCUAACUCUCUGACCCAAAGUAAGUUAAUUGUAAAAUGGAGAAGUAAAAGUAUCUAUUUGAGAGUGUGUCAUGGGGAUUACAUUAGAAAAAUGUGGAUAAAGCACUUAGCUUGGCCCUUGGUACAUGCUCCAUAAAAUAGCAAAUUAAGAAUCAACACAAAAUGGUUGAGAUGACCCACUUGCAAAUGUUAUCCUUCCUGAGAGAUCAUUUGUAACAGGUAGUAGGAGGCCUUAGAAAGUAACCUGCAGGCUGGGCACAGUGGCUCACACCUGUAAUCCCAGCACUUUCAGAGGCUGAAGCGGGCGAAUCACUUGAGAUCAGGAGUUCCAGACCAGGCUGGCCAACAUGGCGAAACCACGUCUCUACUAAAAAAAAAAAAUACAAAAAUUAGCUGGGCAUGGUGGCACAUGCAUGUAGCCCCAGCUACUCAGGAGGCUGAGGCAUGAAAAUCGCUUGAACCUGGGAGGCGGAGAUUGAAGUUAGCCGAGAUCAUGCCACUGUACUUCAGCAUGGGAGACAGAGCAAGACUCGGUCUCAAAACAGGAAAGAAAGGAAAGAAAAGAAAGAAAGAAAGAAAGAAAGAAA
rnacentral:lncRNA from 10 species